rnacentral:rRNA from 1 species
AUGAUGAACUUUGUGCGUGCCCAGAUCAAGAAAGCAGCUGAUGAGACCGAGACUAUUCUGGAAACAACCCCGGCUGGCAAAAGCGAUGGGGAAGGUGCACUUCGAGCAUUCAUUAAGCGCCAGGGCCAAAAGUUAAGGCGGCUACCAAACCUUUUCGGUUGUCGUGACCCCGAGUACGUAUCACCAGAACGGUCUAGGUCGGCGACACCAUCAGAUCCCACUUCGGGCCAGGGCCAUGUUGAUCCUUUGGAGGAUGAGGAUGUGGGUGUGGUCACCCAAGAGGUUGCUGAUGAUAUGACCUUGGGGACGUACCAGGUUCGGUCUGCAUACAAGUUAAAGCCUAGGAAGGGAAUCAACAAGUACACACCUGAAGACUUCACCCAAAGAGGCAAAAGGACGGUCGGCACCUCGCGGAUGGCGGCUUUGGAUGACUAUUUGGAUGACGAUGUGGAUGACGUGGAGGAACCGCAGCCGGAGCCAGAGCAGGUUGCUCUUCCUAGGAAGGCGAAGAAGAGAAGCAGCAAGAGGGGGGAGGAGCGAAAAAGCGCUCAAGGAACUAGUCAUCGUCCUCUAUUUGUAAUGGUAGCUCUAUGUUGGUGGUAG